rnacentral:rRNA from 1 species
AUGUUCCCACGCGGUUCAGAAUCAUCGAGGCCCCCCUCGAGGAUUUGGCUGCUCUCGACUCGAGACGCCGCCGCCGACGCUGCGCCGCCUCCUCCCCAAGACGCCGCGCUGCCUCCUCCCCAAGUCGCCGCGCCACCCGACGCCUCGACGCCGGUGAUCUCCUCCGGCAUACUGGACUUCUCACCGGUGGUUAGUCAUCGCAGCCCCUCCCCUCCCCUCCCCCCUCCUCUCCAUGGCUGCCACCUCCCGCACGCCCUCCGUCCGCCUCGUCCUCACCGGCGAGCACGCCAAGAACGGAGUCUCCUACCCCAGCUCCACAUGGACCCUAACCCUACCCAGCUAGCUUGCCAAGAACCUGAAAGUUCUGGUACAACUGUGACAUUUGUGAUAAUAGACGAGUGGGUUGUAACAGUAGCAUCAGUUGGUGAUUCGCGCUGCAUACUAGAGGCAGUGUGGUGUAGAUUGUUAAUUAGUGAUGGUGAUGGGUUAUUACGAGUAUUUGCUGCUUUCCAGGCUGGAGUUAGAUGCUUUCCGAGGGCACCAUGGCCGUCACACCUCCGCCUAAUUCGGCUGUCCCUGUGUCUUCUUUGGUGGAUGAGAUCGAUGGCGCUCUGUAGUUAG